UACGUAGGGGGCAAGCGUUGUCCGGAAUCAUUGGGCGUAAAGCGCGCGUAGGCGGCCCUGUAAGUCCGCUGUGAAAGUCAAAGGCUCAACCUUUGAAUGCCGGUGGAUACUGCAGGGCUAGAGUCCGGAAGAGGCGAGUGGAAUUCCUGGUGUAGCGGUGGAAUGCGCAGAUAUCAGGAGGAACACCAAUUGCGAAGGCAGCUCGCUGGGACGUUACUGACGCUGAGACGCGAAAGCGUGGGGAGCAAACAGG
rnacentral:rRNA from 1 species